AUGAGCUCAGCGCUUCUGGAAGGGGAGGGCAGGGCAGGGCCGCGUGGUCAGCAGUGACUCAGGCCUCUUUGUCCCGAGCGCACAGUGGAGGACAGACAGCGGGCUCCGUGCAGAACAAAGAGGUUCUGUGGAGCAGCCCGAGCAGAGGGCAGCGCUGGGGAGGGAGCACUCAGAGAGAAAGGGAGCCCUCGGAGCGUGGGCCGGCCCGCCCGGAAGUGCAGCACAGCGGCAUCGAAGGUCUCCCGAAGGCAGCGAGGAGCCAGCGGGUGGGGCGCCAGGAGGCUGGCACGACCCCCGGGAGGCAGGCCAGGGUCCUCUCCUUUCUGCUGCUGCUGCUGCUGCUGCUGCUAAGUCACUUCAGACGUGUCCGACUCCGUGCGACCCCAGAGAUGGCAGCCCACCAGGCUCUCCCAUCCCUGGGAUUCUCCAGGCAAGAAUACUGGAGUGGGUUGCCAUUUCCUUCUCCAAUGCAUGAAAGUGAAAAGUGAAAGUGAAGUCACUCCGUCGUGUUUGACUCUUAGCAACCCCAUGGACUGCAGCCCACCAGGCUCCUCCGUCCAUGGGAUUUGCCAGGCAAGAGUACUGGAGUGGGGUGCCAUUGCCUUCUCCACCUCUGCUUUCUAAGGUCAGAUAAACACUGCUCUGUUUUUUUCCCAAUUCAUUUUCUUCUCUCAUGGAAUUAUUUAAUCCACAGGAAGGCUCUUCUGAUGUCUGAUAGGAAGUAUAACCCAAAUCCUUCUUCUCUGAGUAGUGACAUGGUGUCCCAUCACCUUUCAUGAAUAGCUCACUCUUUCCCCACUAAUGUGAAAGGCACAUUUUAUUAAAUACUAGAUUAUUUUUAAAUAUUGCAUCUGUUUCUCAGUCUUCUUUUUUUUCCCUACUGAUUUCCUAUUUUCACACUGGUGGAUUCAAUAUGUCCUCACAAUACUUUUAAUCUGGGAUAGCAAAUAUACUAUUAAUAUGCUUUUCUAAAAAUCUUUCUCUAUUCCCACUUAUUUGUUAUCUCUUUAAUUUAGAAUUACUUGGUCAAGUUCCAAAAAUAUCCUUACACAAUUUUGGUUGAGAUUACAUUAUAUUUUUUUAAUUGAAAUAUAGUAUUUUUUUAACUGAUGUAUUUUUUUAGUUGAAGUAUUUUUAUUUUUAAUAAAUUUUCCAGCUAGUUGUUGCA
rnacentral:lncRNA from 1 species